ACUCAAAUGAAUUGACGGGGGUCCGCACAAGCGGUGGAACAUGUGGUUUAAUUCGACACUACGCGAGGAACCUUACCUAGGUUUGACAUGUAUAUGACAUCCUCAGAAACGAGGCCUUCCAGGGGUAACCUUGGACAUAUACACAGGUGCUGCAUGGCUGUCGUCAGCUCGUGUCGUGAGAUGUUGGGUUAAGUCCUAUAACGAGCGCAACCCCUGCUAUCAGUUGCUACUUCGUAAGAAGGCACUCUGAUAGGACUGCCUGGGAAACCAGGAGGAAGGUGGGGAUGAUGUCAAGUCCGCAUGGUCCUUAUGCCUAGGGCAACACACGUGUUACAAUGGCCAAUACAAAGGGCUGCGAAGUCGUAAGAUGGAGCUAAUCCCAUAAAGUUGGUCUAAGUUCAGAUUGAGGUCUGCAACUCGACCUCAUGAAGUUGAAAUCGCUAGUAAUCGCGUAUCAGAACGACGCGGUGAAUACGUUCUCGGACCUUGCACACACCGCCCGU
rnacentral:rRNA from 1 species